AAACAAGCCCGAAUAUGGCAACAAAAACGAGCCCAUGCAGAAAAGCUGAUAAAAGAACUAGAAGGUAAAAAAAUAAUUUCCCAUAAAUGUUUAAUAAGAUAACAUUGAAAUAAUGAACGUAGUUAUUAAAUGUGGAUUAUUCAUUUUGUUAACAUGCCUGUUUUUUGUUUUUUUUUUUCUAAUUCCAGCAGAAAUUCUAGUGUCACUUUGUUGUUUCUUAUAGUUUUGUAGUAGUUUUGCUUGACCAGA